GUAUGCUCUCGAGCUCGGUAAUGCGCACAUCAUGGACGAGAGUGGGCGCGCAAGGCACAGGCACAGGCAUAGGCACAGGCACGGGCACAGGCACAGGCGAGCGACCCUCGCCACGACCCAGUCGGCGGGCGGGCGCACGGAACAGGUUGCCUUGCGGCAGGGUGGGAUGGAUGUGGUGUCGUCGUCAUCGUCUUCAUCGCCUUCAUCGUCUUCGAUUGUGGACUGACAACAGAGGAAGUGAUAGAUAUCGUAGCAUGUGAAUCCCAAAGUGCGUGCCCCUGAUUGGGCCAAGGCCCAAGGCCCUCAGGUCUCUGCCAUUAGCUACUCGACAUGUUUACUUACCAGAGACAGACUGCUUCAAGCAUUCACCUUUGGCCAAGCCGCUGCCAAAGUGCCAAACGUCUCUGUAUAACGGCGGCGCUGUAUAACGCUUCGACCUCCCUCGUGUAUGUGGAAGCAUUACAAGUGACCCGUCAGCGUGGACUUUGCUACCCGGCACCCCGGCCCCCGCCCCCUUCACUUCUGACCCGAAGAAGACAGUUCAUUUUCAGGAUGCAUUAAGGACACGGACUGCUUGCAUUUCCUACAGGGCAUCAAAGAGGACAUCGUCGACAGCCCGCAAGGGAUACAGUUGUUAACGUAUACAAGGGGGAGGCGUCGACUAUGGCGAGGACGAAAACACAAACAUGGCAACCGAGCACCGAGCACCGGGAAGGGUCCGCCUCUGCCUGCUCUCGGCUGCAGUUGAAGGAAUGGAAUGGAAACGAAAGGAAAGGAGCACUUUAUGUGCAUAUAAUAUCUGAAUGUUCGCCGCACCAUCCUCAGCCACACACACACACACGACCACACGUACACACACGUACGAUCCACCCAGCCAGACAGACACAUGUAUACGUAGGACACAGUGUCAUCCAAGUUGCGGGGAAUUGUUAAUAUUGUCUGUGCGCCUGUAAGCAGCAUUUACAUGCUGGCCGACACCACGUACCACGUCCUGGCUGAUAGAAGAGCUCAUGUGUGGCUGGUGCCCUCUCUGACGGAACGGAAGGGCUCUGCUAGCCGCUCGGCUUUAAAUGCUGUAUCAACUUAUGAAGCUGGCCGCCGCUUUCAUUAGAUCCAGAGGAUGAACCUAGUUCAGAACUUGUCUGGAUUGAAAACUGACACGCCAUCAAUAAAAUAAUGUUCUCGGAUCGAUAUGAGCAUUUGGAACAGAAGAUGGAUGGAUGGAUGGAUGGAUCGAAAAUUAACUAUAUGGGAAAAAUAAUAUUUUAAGACACAUUAUUGAAUAUUUAUAAUAGCUCUAGUAUCAAUGGUGUAUACGAGUAUACAUUAGACAUGAAAAGAGUAAACACCAUAUUUUCUUGUAGGUUGAUGCUUCAUGAAUCAACAGUAUUCAUAAAAACACAGCUACACUCAUACAUCUUUAAAGCUUUCGAUCAUUACGAAUCCUUUCUUCAGUCAGAUCCGGAUCACCCCGAACCGAGUGCGAGCACUACGGAUACUCAUGCAACACACUCAUUAUGAAGUAAACUUUUCGGAUCUGACACAGUAAAAAUGACGAUACCUGCUUCGGGCAGUCCGUUUUGGGUGUGCGAUUCGAUGUAAUGAGAAAGUUGAGUCGCUGAUUCGAACUGACCGAACGAAGCGAGUACCGAUUCAAUCCCACCGACUCGACUCGGUUGCCUUUUCAUGCGGGGUGUUAUGUACAUGUGACGGCUCUGCACUCUACAGCAGGAGACCUCAACAUUUUGAGGGUUCUUUGGUUCUACCACAUCAACUGGCCGGUCCAAAGAUCCAAAGAUAUAUGUAUGUAUGUAUGUAUGCCAGGUCAAAGUGCAACAAGGCCUUACAAUAAUAAUAAUAAUAAUACAAAUGUACAUAUGUAGUAUAGUAUGUAGUGUACUCUUAAGUGGAAUCUCGAAGAUUCUGGUGCAGUUUAAAAAUUGUAACUUAUUAAAGUUUAUAAUAUCUCUGUUGUUGUGGGGCGCUGGGCUAUUAUUUGCGCUGACAAUUCUCAGACAGUCCAGCUUACAACCUAUCCAUGCACCAUACGCUGUUGACAAGAAACGUUUUUGUCAGAGAUCUAUAGGUAUCACCAGAUAUCUGUUUUUCAAUCUCCCGAUACUAUCAUUUUCAUUCCACGAGCUUCCUCGAGUAUCGCAAUUCCUUCUAUCCUUCAUUAUACGUCAAUAACAAAAAAAAAAAAACGGAACACUUAUAGUAAUGCAUGCCACAGUAAUCAAAACUAGAAUCAGCAGAAGACCUAACUCGUUAGAUUAAGUUCAUCUUGUUGAUAAGUAAUUAUGCAGUAAUACUUGUGAUUAUCAAAUCAAUGAAGAGAUUCAAAUGGAGAAGUAAUAUUUGGACGUUGAUAUGCAAUGACUGCACCACCAAGUGGGCCAUGAGACACCAAGCCACCAACGCGCGGAUCACAGGCAGAGACGCAGCCCUGCUCCUGCCCAGCCGACCGAGGGCCAGGAAAGAUAGAUGUUAGGCUAAUAUUCGAGUAAUAUUAGACUUAACCUGACUAAAGGAGAUAAGCAUGCAUUCAAAAUAGAAAACUAAUACUGAUUACUUGAAAGGAAUGCCAGUAUCAGUAAUUUAAGAAGAAGAAGGGAAUUAAUAGUACAUUUAAUAUACCAAGCGAAAGGGACAACGUUGUAUACAUAGUUUCUAGUGGAUAUUAUAGGAAUCGUGAAGUUUAUGCGGAUCAAUAAGACUGGGAGAUCUUCAUGGCGCAUAAGAAUCAUACCAAUAUUUUUCUACGAUUAAGUAAGGAUGGCAGGUUUAUUGAGAGCAAUCAAUUCGGAUAAGAUGGCAAUCCCUCACUUGCAUCCCAGUUUAGGCCGCGCAGGUCAAAGAGUUUUUUUUGUUGGUUUUGACCGCUCUUACAUGUAUUGGAUGAUUUUUAUAGUUACUAAGAAUUAUUCUAAACGAAUACCGAAUUCGCCCAAUCAAUGACAUAACAAAUUUCCUGUAAUAACAAUGCGAGUAUGAUGACGAUCACAUUUGGCCAAGAUAAUGUCUAAUAGCAUAUUUUAUAACAAUCAAUUAGAAGCAUUUUGUUCUUUCGAUUAUGCUUAGAAAACAUAAAUGUUAUCUCAAAAAGACUUGUCAAAGAAUCGAUCGAUCCGAUAAUUCUCAAUUCCCAAAUAAGAGAUAAAAGGCAUUUUUCAAUGUUCGAUUGAGACUUUACAUUAUAGAGAGAGAUCGCCAUGGCUAGUUGCACUUAGUUUGACUUUCUGAUCAUUAAUAUACGAGUAUACGAAAAUACGAUACACACAUUACGGAGUCUCUCUUUGAACUUCACGAACACACAGAUGUAUGACCAAGAAAAUUAUGGGACUAUAGAAGGUUGCUUUUCGACUUAAAUAUGUAGAUAUAGAUUCUAAAAAUUGAUCAAAUCAAACGGUUGUAAUUUCAACACUGUUAUAAACUUUUUCUGUUGGUGUUGCAUUGGUUUUUUUUGUUUUGUAAAUUGAUCUUGUUGGCAGUGUUGGGUAACGUCUGGGGUCCGCCAAAAAGUAUGCAACGUUGUCGGACGUUUUCGAUCAUUGAAGUUCCAUUAAUGGCCGCUGAGUGCGGUGCGCCACUGGCACAUGUAAUUUUUACGCGAUACGUUACAUGGUCUUUUUGUUGCAUUCGGGGUUGCACUGUUGUAAUUGAUUGCUGUAAUAAUCUAUUAUUAUUGUUAUUCUGCUUAA